UAGCAACCAGGAACAUUUCCCAUUUUCUCACUUGGAAUCUGUUUGGGGAGCUGGGAGUUGCUAUCGCACAAAAUUGGUGACAUCUGUGAGGAAGGGCAGCCAAGGGGGUGAGCAAGCAGCUGGACAGGCUGCCUGCAGGCCAGGCUCGCUCCUCCGCGGGGCUCGCUCUGGACCACGGCACGUGAGGCCUCCUCUGACUUUUCCAGUGUCUUUCUACGCGCUCCCACCCACGCUUUCCUCGAAGGGGAAAAAAAGAGUUUUGUGUCUAAGAGGUCAAGUGACUUAAAGGAACGAUUCCAGCCUUCUGAAAAGUUUCUGUUUCAAACGCGUGAAAAAUAAUCCUGAAGGAACAGCCCAGCUCGGCUCUGCCUGCAGGUCUGCCUCUGGUUUUCACGCUGGCACGUCAACACUCGCCACUUUAACUGGUCUUCCAAGAAGCCAGCUCGAUGCCUGAACACUCACGCUUCUCACUUUUGGCCACGACAGCUAACUCUGGAGCUGGCACAUCAGAAGACUAGAAACUGCGGUCGUUCUGAACUCGCCCCCAGCUGCGUGGCUGUAAGUCCCUCAUCAGAUCCAGAAACACAGUGCUGUGCGGGGAAGCACGUCCAAGCACGUCCGGUGAUUGACAGACAACAAGGGAAAGCAAAUGAUCCUUUAAAAGGCAGGGGGGACAUGACAGAAACGAAGUCCACACUUCGCUGAAGCGAACCUUUUCCCAGAGCUGGUUCUCAGGAGAGGCGGCCGGACCAACAGAGAGCUGAUACCCAGCUGCCAGCGCGAGAGCGGCAGAGAGAGAGGGUUGGAAGGGCCCUCGCUGUAGUUGUUUCUUCUCCGUGUGUUCCCAUUGGUAAGUCCAAGCGGGUCCCUCAGCAGCUGGGCUGAGCGCGUGCGACAGCCACAGAGGUCAAAAGAUGACAUCUCGAUCCAGCUUCUUCAUAUGAAAACAGCUUUACUUAUAGAAACAACUUCACCCUCACAAGCAAUUCAUUUUUGUCGUAAGCCAGUGGAUCUGAAAUCACAUGGAACUAGCACACAACACUGU
rnacentral:lncRNA from 1 species